ACAAUGUCACGUGAAAAAGGUCAUGAUAAACUGUGAGAAAUGAACAAAAGAAAGGAGAUAAAUCAGCAGCUGCAGCAAAGAAGAAGCUGCUGGUGUGUCUGCGGCCGCAGGAGGGCACAACUCCAGAGAUGACAUUCCGAAAACAUGUUCCUACCAUAGAUGUACCUUCACUGUGGGGUCGCAAAGGGCGGGGCUGGAAGUUAGUGAACUGGUACAGAAAAGCACAGCAAUGCAAUACAAUUAAGGAUAACGUCUUUAUGGGUUCGGCUUUGCUAAACAUUGUGCCUCCAUGGUAAGAGAGGUUGAUUAUCUACCAAUGCUCCACCCAGCGAGCACGCUCAGUGACUCAAAUUAAACACACCCACAAAGUGCUUCAGCAACAGGUGUGCUGGAUCUAGCUAACAUGCUAAAUGCUAACAUCACGGUGGAACCUCCAGCGGUGAUUGGUUGAACCUGGAGCAGAUGAUGGGAGACUUCGUGUUGCACACAAGACUCACAGAGUGACGCUCAAACAGCUUGGAGUGUCACAGUCCCGAGUUGUGAUGUACAGGAGACCAUCGACAAAAUACGAGCACUGCAGAUAGAUCAGGAAUGUGCACAAAAGAAUAAUAAUCCACCAAAAGCUCCAGUAUUACUCCCUUUGGAUUGGACAUGCUUGGAUGUCAUUGCAUAAAAAACUAAACUAAAAGGAUACUGCCAGUUAUCCAUUAACAGACCACAUCCUUGAGGACACUGGGUGAAAUGUAACUGACCAGCUUAGCAUUCAGCUACACUCUCCUGAACAUGUUUUAGUACCGUUUUCCACCAGCAUUGCAUGAUUUAUUUUAUUAUUAAAGUUAAUAAAUGACUGUGCUGACUCCGUGGAGGGGGGAGUUUUCAACCUGUCUACAAAGAGAGUACAGAGGUCACCCACACAGUAUGAUGAUGCAUAGUGUUACUGAAAAUGUUUCUUUUCCAUGCCCCACUAACAUGAAGCUGUGUAGGUACAGUAUCAGAUCUGUAUUCUUAUACAUAAUGGAUAAGGUUUCCGCCGGUCUGCUGAGUAGCUCAUACCUCUGAAAUGUGUUAGUGUCUCAGCGGCCUGUUAGCUAACAGCCUCGUCAUACAUGAGGUCAUGUUUUUAGUUCAGGAGGUUAUCAGGCUCGACGCGAUAACACUCACAGUAUCCACGUGUGAUGACACUUAGCCCGAGGGGCAACUGUUAGCCAACACAGCCGGCAUGGUGUGAACUAAUGUUGCUGAGGUCGCUUGGUGAGGCUUGUGUACUAAUAUAUCAAUGUUACAGGCAGAUGGUAUGAAGUGUGUCCAGGUAUGUAAUACAAUAGUAAAAUAAUUCAUCUUUUGACCUGGCCUAAAUGUGAGUGAACUGUCAAAACGGUGUGCGGAGGACAUACCCAUGUACCAAAUAGGGCGUAUUUAGGAAAAACCUGAUGUUAUGACCUCUGGACAGAAUAAUGGAUCUGUCCCGACAUGCAAGAAAACCCUGAAAUGCACCUUUAAACCUGCAUCAACCAGCUCGACCACAAAAACCAAUGACAAA